rnacentral:rRNA from 1 species
CGCGGCCUAUCAGCUUGUUGGUGAGGUAACGGCUCACCAAGGCAACGACGGGUAGCUGGUCUGAGAGGACGAUCAGCCACACUGGGACUGAGACACGGCCCAGACUCCUACGGGAGGCAGCAGCAGGGAAUAUUACACAAUGGGCGAAAGCCUGAUGCAGCGACGCCGCGUGAGGGAUGAAGGCCUUCGGGUUGUAAACCUCUUUCAGGAGGGAAGAAGCGAAAGUGACGGUACCUCCACAAGAAGCCCCGGCCAACUACGUGCCAGCAGCCGCGGUAAUACGUAGGGGGCAAGCGUUGUCCGGAUUCAUUGGGCGUAAAGAGCUCGUAGGCGGCUCAACAAGUCGGUCGUGAAAGCCCGGGGCUCAACCCCGGGACGCCGAUCGAAACUGUUGUGGCUAGGGUCCGGUAGAGGAGAGUGGAAUUCCCGGUGUAGUGGUGAAAUGCGCAGAUAUCGGGAGGAACACCAGUAGCGAAGGCGGCUCUCUGGGCCGGCACCGACGCUGAGGAGCGAAAGCUAGGGGAGCAAACAGGAUUAGAUACCCUGGUAGUCCUAGCCGUAAACGUUGGGCACUAGGUGUGGCGGACUCAUUGACGUCUGCCGUGCCGUAGCUAACGCAUUAAGUGCCCCGCCUGGGGAGUACGG